rnacentral:rRNA from 1 species
GACGAACGCUGGCGGCGUGCUUAACACAUGCAAGUCGAACGGAAAGGCCCUGCUUUUGUGGGGUGCUCGAGUGGCGAACGGGUGAGUAACACGUGAGUAACCUGCCCUUGACUUUGGGAUAACUUCAGGAAACUGGGGCUAAUACCGGAUAGGAGCUCCUGCUGCAUGGUGGGGGUUGGAAAGUUUCGGCGGUUGGGGAUGGACUCGCGGCUUAUCAGCUUGUUAGUGGGGUAGUGGCUUACCAAGGCUUUGACGGGUAGCCGGCCUGGGAGGGUGACCGGCCACAUUGCGACUGAGAUACGGCCCAGACGCCUACGGGAGGCAGCAGUGGGGAAUAUUGCACAAUGGGCGCAAGCGUGAGGCAGCAGUGCCGCGUGCGGGAUGACGGCCUACGGGUUGUAAACCGCUUUCGCCGGUGACGAAGCGUGAGUGACGGUAAUGGGUAAAGAAGCACCGGCUAACUACGUG